rnacentral:rRNA from 1 species
AGAUUGAACGCUGGCGGCAGGCCUAACACAUGCAAGUCGAGCGGUAGAGAGGUGCUUGCAUCUCUUGAGAGCGGCGGACGGGUGAGUAAUGCCUAGGAAUCUGCCUAGUGGUGGGGGAUAACGUUCGGAAACGGACGCUAAUACCGCAUACGUCCUACGGGAGAAAGCGGGGGACCUUCGGGCCUCGCGCCAUUAGAUGAGCCUAGGUCGGAUUAGCUAGUUGGUGAGGUAAUGGCUCACCAAGGCGACGAUCCGUAACUGGUCUGAGAGGAUGAUCAGUCACACUGGAACUGACGA